GAUGAGUUGACAAGGCAAACUGGAUUGUCCAGCCUGGAUGGGAAAUGAGGUCUCAAAGGAAUUUAGGAAUAAAAAGAGGAUGUAUCAUUGGAAGGAGGGUCAGGUCUCUCAGGAAGUAUUUAAGUGGGUUGCUAGGGCAUGUAGGAAAAAAAAAAUAAGGAGGCCAAAUCUCAGUUUGAGCUUAAUUUGGCAACUUUUUUAAAGGAGAAGAAAAGAUGUUUUUUGCAAACAUAUUGAUGGCAAAAGGAAGGGUAAGAACAACGUUUGUUCUCUAGUGGAUGCAGAGGGGAACUUAGUAAGGCAGAUGAGGAAAACAUGGAAGUGCUUAAUGCCCUCUUUGCCUCAGCCUUUGGUGGGAAGAUGGCUUGUCCUCAGGACAGCUCUCCUCCUGGGCUGGUAGAUGGUGUCAAGGAGCAGAAUGGGCCCCCCAUGAUCCAGGAAGCAGCAGUCAGAGGACUGCUGAGCUGCUUAAAUCCAUGAGACCAGAUGGGACCCACCCCAGGGGGAUGAGGGAGCUGGCAGAGCUAGAGAUAACUAGGCAGUAAACAUACCUGUGCUUUAUAAAAAGAUGUCUUUGAAGAAGGAGUGCUGUGGAGGAGAUGGAUGAACACAACAAAAAAAACCCCAACAUUCCAGACUUUGGUUUUCUUUUUGACAAAGAUGAUAAAAAAAAAGGUGGAUGUGACUUUGGAACUGGCAGGGAUGGAGCAUCUGACCUGCAAGGAGACACUGACAGAGCUGGAAAUGCUCAGCCUGGAGAAGGGAAGGUUCAGGGGGAUCUUAUCCAUGUGAAAAGUCUUGUGGGAGGGAGUGAACACCGAGGUUUAAAAUGUGAAAUUUUAACACCAAGUUUUAAAACAGGAAAUGCCAUUUGAACACAAGAAAAUGGAGUUGGUUUUACAUUUCAGUGUGUGAUUUUAGUUUGUUUGGUGGUGUUUUGUUUCUUUGUUUGUUUGGGCUUUUUUUGUGGUACCUUUAGUCUUAUGGUUUUGUUAAUGUAGUUGGGGUUUGUUUUUAUUUUUGGGGGUGUUUUUGUGGGUUUUUUUUGUUGUUUUUUUUUCUUAGUUUAGUUUAGUUUUGUUUUGUUUUGCUUUGUUUUGUUUGGUUUUUGAUGGGUUUUUCUUGGUAGUGUUUGGGAGUUUUUAACUCGGGAGUGUUUGGGUGUUUGGGAGUUUUUUGGGAAUGGUCAAACACGGCACCAGGCUGUACAAGAGGCUGUGGAAAUCAGUUUUUGGGAACACUAAAAUCCCGAGUGGACACAGGCCUAGGCAGGAUCCUUGAGCUGUCUCUGCUCAAGGAGGGUGUCUGGAGUGGCUGGCCCUGCCAAUCUCAUCCUGUCUGAGAUGUUCUGGUUCCUAAUUGCUGCAGUUCUAGUUCUUUUCAAAUCAAUGCUGACAGGGGGGAAAUUCCUGGCAACAAACCAGGCCAGAGGAUUCCUUCCCAAAAAGGAAUAAUCUGACAUUUUUGUCUUGAUUUUGGAACAACAUCUUUACUUCUCCUAUUUAAAGUAGGUGAAGAUUUGUCCCUGAAGAACUUGACUAUAUCUAGUGCUAUGCAGUUUUGCAUGAAAUAAUAACACACACACACACAAAAAAAAUAUAGUACAGUUUCAUAAUGUGCUUGCAGUUCCAAUUUUUAAAAACUAAAUUUAGAUAUGAAAGUAUUUUGGUUCCAACCAGUCCCAGCCUUUUAGAAUGAUAGCUGACAAACAAAAAUUCUGUUUCCUACACCAAAUCCAUUUUUUCCUGGUAGCUGUAGGGACAAUUAGCAUAUUUUUAAAAAAGUGGAAGUUCUAAUUUUAGGAAUUAUAUCUUCAUUUCCAGGGGAAAGUAGAAGACCAAGGAGACUUUUUAUUUUACCAGAAGCUGCUGCCUCUGCAAGUGUGUGCAGAACAUAUGUGUGAGCUGACACCACGACAGACUGAAGAGGAGCUCAGACCUGAAGCUAUUUGAAGCACUGGUUUGGCUUUGAAUUUAAUCAGCAUUUCCACCGGGACAAGGCAGCAAGCAGAUCAUGUGUUCCUCUUUCUAGUCAAUCACAGUGCAAAUGAAAUGGCAAAAUAUAAUUUACAAACAUCUUUUUUGGGUUUUUUUUUGCACUCCAGUAGACAUGGAGAACAUGCAGUGCCAGUGAUUAUGUCAGAUUUUACUUCUGUCUAGAUAAAAAAGAAGUCACAGGCUUUGUAACUUCAAGGUGACUCCUAACUACACCAUGAAACAGCACAUUUUCACAUUCCUGGAUGUAGUAAUUCUAUAAAGCUAUUCACCUCUGAAAUCUGAUUAACGGAAGACAUUUAUCUCGAUAAGUUUGCUCCACAGAUUUAAAACAAAACAAAAUGGAUUUCCUUGACCUAUUAACACUGUAAUUAUUAUUACUCUGAUUCCUGAAGUGUGACUCCCAAGGAUGUUAGCAGACAGUGUGGUACUGCAGCACUGAGGUGCAGGGCAUGAUUAAUCUUGUUUUAUGCCUUCACAUAAAAUAAUGCACGUCAAAGGCAACAUCUUCACCCAUUUGCAUCAGCAGCAGCUAACGAGCACACAGACACUUUCAGACAAGCAAAACUUUUCAAAGGAUGCUGUGUUGAGCUUCAGGUCUGCAGGAAGUGACUUGAAAAUGAGGUGAUUAGUUAUGUUCCACGCAGCAGAAGACAGCUUUUCAGACAGUAAUGGGAAGAAUUGCCACCUAUUUCCUGAUGUGUCCAAAGAGAUUAAACCCUUUUCAUGCUGAUCUGACAUCUCCCCCAAAAUCAGUGUAUUAUUCUCUUACCACCGUGGCCAGCACAGUCCAUGUGUGUAAGCAGUGGCCAUCAGGACUAAUCAAAUAAAAAGAAAAUGAAUGUUA